rnacentral:lncRNA from 1 species
UGGAUAACUUGAGGCAAGUGUUUCUUGUGUGUGUGUGUGUGUGUGUGUGUGUGUGUGUUUUGUUUUGGUUUUAAAUCACAGAAAUCUGCAGGUGCAACUGGGCAACACCAGAUACAUAACCACAGGCCAUUAAGUGACCAAGUGACCUGAGCCACCUAUCAUAAAUUAGGUGUCAUCCAAGUUAUAGAUGUCAUCCAAAGUCGUCCAUGUUAUGCUCAGCCAUAAGGUUGGUUGUGCCGUGUAGCAUUCCAUCAUCCCACGUAAGCAGUAUAUGUGAGACCGGGCUGGAGUGGAUAAGGCGUCAGUAGAUACCUCCUCAUGGCAUUUACUGGUUAACCAUAUCCGCUUUGUCCUGAAGCAGCUAACCUGGUAAGCCCUGAGUUGCCUUUUAGAGUAUCUGUUUACAGUGCUGGUUGGGCAAAAACACCUUGUAGGCCUGGAAUCAUUUGCUCUAAAUUCGGAGCCAAUAUAUGGUGCUGUUUUCACCAUAACCUUCUUGGGACUGGGAGUCAAGGAAAGAAUAUCAGGGUGGCUCUUCUUCUUCUUCUCCCUGGUGACCCAAAAGUGAAUCUUACUUUCCAUGUCUGAGACUUUUGUUUUGCUUGUCUAGAGGUCUUAGUUCCCAAGGGAUGAUUGCUUCCACCAGGAGACACAGCAGGGGUUCUAUUAAAUGGGAAGUGGAGACCGCCAACUGGCCACUUCACGCUCUUCAUCACAGCAACUCAACAGGCAAAGAAGAGUUUCUGUACUGGCUGGGCUGAGUGUUCCUGACCAUCAAGGGUUGCUUCUCUGCAGCAGAGUGGAACGUUCUAGCCUAGAGCUGGAUGGGAUUUUGAGAUUUCCCUGGUCCUGCCCAAUUAUCUUACAAGGUGAGUUUCUCCAUUAUCUGUUUUUGUCUCUGUCUUUUGUAACCAUGUUUUCCUU